UACGUAGGGGCUAGCGUUAUCCGGAAUUACUGGGCGUAAAGGGUGCGUAGGCGGUCUUUCAAGCCAGAAGUGAAAGGCUACGGCUCAACCGUAGUAAGCUCUUGAAACUGUAAGACUUGAGUGCAGGAGAGGAGAGUGGAAUUCCUAGUGUAGCGGUGAAAUGCGUAGAUAUUGGGAAGAACACCGGUGGCGAAGGCGACUUGCUGGGCAGCAACUGACGCUGAGGCGCGAAAGCCAGGGGAGCAAACGGGAUUAGAUACCCCCGUAGUCCCUGAG
rnacentral:rRNA from 1 species